GAUGAACGCUGGCGGCGUGCUUAACACAUGCAAGUCGAACGGUGAAGCAGGAGCUUGCUCUUGUGGAUCAGUGGCGAACGGGUGAGUAACACGUGAGCAACCUGCCCCUGACUCUGGGAUAAGCGCUGGAAACGGCGGCUAAUACUGGAUAUGUGAUGUGACCGCAUGGUCUGCAUCUGGAAAGUAUUUCGGUUGGGGAUGGGCGCGCGGCGUAUCAGCUUGUUGGUGAGGUAAUGGCUCCACAAGGCGUCGGCGGGUAGCCGGCGUGGGUGGGCGACCGGGCACACGGGGACUGGGACACGGGCCAGACGCCUACGGGAGGCAGCAGCGGGCAAUAGUACACAAUGGGCGGAGUCAUGAAGCAGCAACUCCGCGUGGGGGAGGACGGCCUUCGGGUUAUAACCCUCUUGUAGCAGGGAAGUAGCGAAAGUGACGGUACCUGACGAAAAAGCACCGGCUAACUACGUGCCAGCCGCCGCCGUAA
rnacentral:rRNA from 1 species